UUGGCUGAAAUAGUCUUUGGCUAGAAUUUGUCCAAAGAUUUUUCUCUCUCUUAAAUUACAUGGACAGGUGGGACACCAAUAUUCCAGUAAAGACUGAGCAGUAAUUCCAGAGGAAGAGGAGGAACUAUGGACGGGUGUAUGGAGGGCAGAAUUGAGAGCAAGGACAUCUGAGGCUCUAGCCCAGGUUUGUCAGCACACCUGAGAUGGUGGCAAGAUUUGGAAAAGGAGUUACAGUAAGUACUUAUUUGAAAAGAACUUUCUGAUAAGUCUGCUUGGGGAAGAAGUUGAAAUUCCAAAGACUUCAGUAUUUUAGAGAACGGAGUGAAAACACAUACUCUACCUAAGGUUGGCCUCAUUUUUUCCCUGCUGAUGCAAGGAGGCUCUAAGCCUAUUUCCUUACAGCUUAUGAUCCAAAGGAAAGAGACCUUCUCUAUCUUGGCAUCCACAUAUCAGAUCUCAAGGGAGGCUGCUUGGACCUGUUUGGUCAUAUGCAUAUGAGUCGACCAGUCAUAGUGGACAGACAGACGAGGUACCAGGACUGGCCAGCCCUGGGCCCUGUGUCCACCCCUGUGGACAGGCAGCUGAUGGAGCUCCAUGAAUGACCAGCACUGUGGGAACCACAGGGGAGGUGCUAGUUCUCGAGCAGGAAAAGGAGCGCUGGGCAGAUAAAAUCAUCAGAUGUCCACUCCAGUUGCAUGUUUUUGGCAUAAAAAGCCAUUUCAACUAAUUUGUUUGUUAGCUCUCAGUAUAGCUGAGGUUCAUGAGUGCUACAAUUUUUUUGUAUCAAAAGCAGCAUACAGUUUUAAGCCAAUGCUUCUCA